rnacentral:misc_RNA from 1 species
GAUGGAAGAACGUAGCGAAAUGCGAUAAGUAAUGUGAAUUGCAGAAUUCAGUGAAUCAUCGAAUCUUUGAACGCACAUUGCGCCCCCUGGUAUUCCGGGGGGCAUGCCUGUCCGAGCGUCAUUACAACCCUCAAGCUCUGCUUGGUGUUGGGCCCCGCCGCCCCGGCGGGCCCUAAAGUCAGUGGCGGUGCCAUCCGGCUCCGAGCGUAGUAAUUCUUCUCGCUCUGGAGGUCCGGUUGUGUGCUUGCCAUCAACCCCCAAUUUUUUUCAGGUUGACCUCGGAUCAGGUUGGGAUACCCGCUGAACUUAAGCAUAUCAAUAAGCGGAGGA